rnacentral:rRNA from 1 species
ACGCUCGACACCUACGGGGGGCAGCAGUGGGGAAUAUUGCACAAUGGGGGAAACCCUGAUGCAGCGACGCCGCGUGAGUGAAGAAGUAUUUCGGUAUGUAAAGCUCUAUCAGCAGGGAAGAAAAUGACGGUACCUGACUAAGGAGCCCCGGCUAACUACGUGCCAGCAGCCGCGGUAAUCUGAGCGGGCUGGCAAGGC